rnacentral:tRNA from 1 species
GGUUGUGGCUCAGUGGUAGAGCACUUGCCUAGCAUGUGUGAGGCCCUGGGUUCAAACCCCAGUACUG